GCAUUAAUGGGGUAGUGGUAACCUGGGUCGUUGCCAUUCGAGUGAAAGCUCGACCCGCCGGGGGUUCGAUUCCCUCUUAAUGCA
rnacentral:tRNA from 1 species